UUCUCCUCACCAUCAAGGGAUCCAAGCUGGAUCUGAAAACAAAGUGCAGGAGGUAUCACUCCUGGGCCAAUGGAUAAAGCCUGGUGCUUCUUUGCUAUCCCGCUGAAAUUCCUCACUCCAGAAACCACAAGCUCAAAGGGCUCCAAGGCAGCAGAGAGGACGUGAACAAAGAGCUCCCUCCCUGCACUGCAGCUUGGAUCGGAUCCAAAACACUCACGGGCAGGAGGCAGGCUGGAGACAUGCAGACAAGUAAUUUUUAGAAUAGACCUAGUUAUUAGCUGUUGCUUUCACUGGCACAACAUGCAGACACAAGCCUGUGAUUUUAGCCCAAUGGUGGCUUCAUAAAAUGCCUUCUCUAAGUCUCCUUCCAUCA